rnacentral:rRNA from 1 species
AGAGUUUGAUCCUGGCUUAGGAUGAACGCUGGCGGCGUGCCUAACACAUGCAAGUCGAGCGAUUCUCUUCGGAGAAGAGCGGCGGACGGGUGAGUAACGCGUGGGUAACCUGCCCUGUACACACGGAUAACAUACCGAAAGGUAUGCUAAUACGGGAUAACAUAUUUUUAGUCGCAUGGCUAAAAUAUCAAAGCUCCGGCGGUACAGGAUGGACCCGCGUCUGAUUAGCUAGUUGGUGAGGUAAUGGCUCACCAAGGCGACGAUCAGUAGCCGACCUGAGAGGGUGAUCGGCCACACUGGAACUGAGACACGGUCCAGACUCCUACGGGAGGCAGCAGUGGGGAAUAUUGCACAAUGGGCGAAAGCCUGAUUGCAGCAACGCCGCGUGAGCGAUGAAGGCCUUCGGGUCGUAAAGCUCUGUCCUCAAGGAAGAUAAUGACGGUACUUGAGGAGGAAGCCCCGGCUAACUACGUGCCAGCCGCGGC